rnacentral:tRNA from 4 species
UCCCCGAUAGCUCAGUUGGUAGAGCAGGCGACUGUUAAUCGCCUUGUCGCAAGUUCGAGUCUUGCUCGGGGAGCCA